rnacentral:rRNA from 1 species
UACGUAGGGUGCAAGCGUUGUCCGGAAUUAUUGGGCGUAAAGAGCUCGUAGGCGGUCUGUCGCGUCUGCUGUGAAAACUCGGGGCUUAACCCCGGGCCUGCAGUGGGUACGGGCAGACUAGAGUGCGGUAGGGGAGACUGGAAUUCCGUGGUGUAGCGGUGAAAUGCGCAGAUAUCAGGAGGAACACCGGUGGCGAAGGCGGGUCUCUGGGCAGUAACUGACGCUGGAGGAACGGAAAAGCGUGGGUAGCGAACAGG